UACAGAGGGUGCGAGCGUUAAUCGCAAUUACUGGGCGUAAAGCGUGCGUAGACGGUUUCGUAAGUCGGGUGUGAAAUCCCCGGGCUCAACCUGGGAAUUGCAUUCGAAACUGCGAGGCUAGGGUACGGAAGAGGGAAGCGGAAUUUCUGGUGUAGCGGUGAAAUGCGUAGAUAUCAGAAGGAACAUCAGUGGCGAAAGCGGCUUCCUGGUCCAGUACCGACGUUCAGGCACGAAAGCGUGGGGAGCAAACAGG
rnacentral:rRNA from 1 species